rnacentral:rRNA from 1 species
UACAGAGGUCUCAAGCGUUGUUCGGAUUCAUUGGGCGUAAAGGGUGUGUAGGUGGCGCGCUAAGUCGGGUGUGAAAUCUCGGGGCUUAACUCCGAAACUGCAUUCGAUACUGCCGUGCUUGAGGACUGGAGAGGGGACUGGAAUUUACGGUGUAGCGGUGAAAUGCGUAGAUAUCGUAAGGAAGACCAGUGGCGAAGGCGGGUCUCUGGACAGUUCCUGACGCUGAGGCACGAAGGUCAGGGGAGCAAACGGG